AGGAAUAUUGGUCAAUGGGCGAGAGCCUGAACCAGCCAAGUAGCGUGAAGGAUGACUGCCCUAUGGGUUGUAAACUUCUUUUAUAAAGGAAUAAAGUCGGGUAUGGAUACCCGUUUACAUGUACUUUAUGAAUAAGGAUCGGCUAACUCCGUGCCAGCAGCCGCGGUAAUACGGAGGAUCCGAGCGUUAUCCGGAUUUAUUGGGUUUAAAGGGAGCGUAGAUGGAUGUUUAAGUCAGUUGUGAAAGUUUGCGGCUCAACCGUAAAAUUGCAGUUGAUACUGGAUAUCUUGAGUGCAGUUGAGGCAGGCGGAAUUCGUGGUGUAGCGGUGAAAUGCUUAGAUAUCACGAAGAACUCCGAUUGCGAAGGCAGCCUGCUAAGCUGCAACUGACAUUGAGGCUCGAAAGUGUGGGUAUCAAACAGGAUUAGAUACCCUGGUAGUCCACACGGUAAACGAUGAAUACUCGCUGUUUGCGAUAUACUGCAAGCGGCCAAGCGAAAGCGUUAAGUAUUCCACCUGGGGAGUACGCCGGCAACGGUGAAACUCAAAGGAAUUGACGGGGGCCCGCACAAGCGGAGGAACAUGUGGUUUAAUUCGAUGAUACGCGAGGAACCUUACCCGGGCUUAAAUUGCAGAUGAAUUACGGUGAAAGCCGUAAGCCGCAAGGCAUCUGUGAAGGUGCUGCAUGGUUGUCGUCAGCUCGUGCCGUGAGGUGUCGGCUUAAGUGCCAUAACGAGCGCAACCCUUGUUGUCAGUUACUAACAGGUUCCGCUGAGGACUCUGACAAGACUGCCAUCGUAAGAUGUGAGGAAGGUGGGGAUGACGUCAAAUCAGCACGGCCCUUACGUCCGGGGCUACACACGUGUUACAAUGGGGGGUACAGAGGGCCGCUACCACGCGAGUGGAUGCCAAUCCCCAAAACCUCUCUCAGUUCGGACUGGAGUCUGCAACCCGACUCCACGAAGCUGGAUUCGCUAGUAAUCGCGCAUCAGCCACGGCGCGGUGAAUACGUUCCCG
rnacentral:rRNA from 1 species